AGUGAACGCUGGCGGUAGGCCUAACACAUGCAAGUCGAACGGCAGCACAGUAAGAGCUUGCUCUUACGGGUGGCGAGUGGCGGACGGGUGAGGAAUACAUCGGAAUCUACUUUUUCGUGGGGGAUAACGUAGGGAAACUUACGCUAAUACCGCAUACGACCUACGGGUGAAAGCAGGGGAUCUUCGGACCUUGCGCGAUUGAAUGAGCCGAUGUCGGAUUAGCUAGUUGGCGGGGUAAAGGCCCACCAAGGCGACGAUCCGUAGCUGGUCUGAGAGGAUGAUCAGCCACACUGGAACUGAGACACGGUCCAGACUCCUACGGGAGGCAGCAGUGGGUAAUAUUGGACAAUGGGCGCAAGCCUGAUCCAGCCAUACCGCGUGGGUGAAGAAGGCCUUCGGGUUGUAAAGCCCUUUUGUUGGGAAAGAAAAGCAGCAGGUUGAUACCCCGCUGUUCUGACGGUACCCAAAGAAUAAGCACCGGCUAACUUCGUG
rnacentral:rRNA from 1 species